rnacentral:rRNA from 1 species
UACGUAGGGGGCUAGCGUUGUCCGGAAUCAUUGGGCGUAAAGCGCGCGUAGGCGGCCCGGUAAGUCCGCUGUAAAAGUCAAAGGCUCAACCUUUGAAUGUCAGUGGAUACUGCCGGGCUAGAGUCCGGAAGAGGCGAGUGGAAUUCCUGGUGUAGCGGUGAAAUGCGCAGAUAUCAGGAGGAACAUUAAUGGCGAAGGCAGCUCGCUGGGACGUGACUGACGCUGAGACGCGAAAGCGUGGGGAGUAAACGGG